ACUCCUACGGGAGGCAGCAGUGGGAAUCUUGGACAAUGGGGCAACCCGUGAUCCAGCCAUGCCGCGUGAGUGAUGAAGGCCUUAGGGUCGUAAAGCUCUUUCGCCUGUGAAGAUAAUGACGGUAGCAGGUAAAGAAACCCGCGUACAUCCGUGCCAGCAGCCGCGGUAAUACGGAGGGGGUUAGCGUUGUUCGGAAUUACUGGGCGUAAAGCGCACGUAGGCGGAUCGGAAAGUUGGGGGUGAAAUCCCGGGGCUCAACCCC
rnacentral:rRNA from 1 species